ACCAUCUGAACCAUCUACAAGAAGAAAGAGCAACAUUCGAGACACUGACCCCGGGAAGCUGGCCUUUUACUUCAAGCUAUGCACUUUAUAUUCUCCUCAUGUUUUCUUUCCUGUGCCACCUCUGUGGGGGAUCUGAGGAGGGACAGUAAGGGAUGAAGUGCAGGUUUUUUUUCUGCACCUUAAUGGCUGUAGUGUGCCACUGGCUACAUCAUGGAGGCUUUUCCCUGUAACCCCCCACCACUGUAUUAACACCAUCAUGAUCUGAAAGCCCCUCUGGUAAUUGAUGGAUUACCGUCACUUGCAAAUAUAUACAUGUUGUGGCAAGCAUGUGUACUAAUGAAAGCAGCAGCUAGGCCCAUUACAGUGCCUUUUCAUUCCAGCCAGAGGAUUUUUUUCUCUGUCUUUCCUCCCCAAAAAGCCCUUACUGAUGUUCAUUGAAAUCAAGAGCGGCUUCUCUUUUUUUUAAGAAAGCACAAUUUCCCUUUCACAAUUCAAUACUGCUUUCAAUCUCUUCAAGCGUGUGGUUCCAUUUGGAAACAGCGGCGGAGGACAAGAGGCUGAAUAAAAUUGUACAGUCUAGUUCAAUCAUGCUGCUCUCCAAACACAGGAAUUUUCUCCUCGACUCCUGACCUGAUUACUCGACUGUUGGGAGAAGGAUGCCUUAGCUUUCCCCGUUGCUACUUGCGUGCGACGCUUUAAAACCUUCCAUAGCUCCCUCCCUUUUUUUCCUCCACCAUCACCCCCCCUCCUGGCUGCAGUGGCUGUGUCUGUAGGUCUCCUCCCCGGAUCCCAGAAAGCUUCAGCUCCCUUACAAAUCUGUCAUUCUAAAUUUGCGGCAGAUUAUGUUCUCCCCUCAGUGGGAGAGUGGUGAUAUAUGAUAUGCAAGGCCGCUAUUGAUUGCCUGAUCUGGUGGCAAGAGGGAGCUGAAAUGAACUUGAAAUGAACAUCAUGCCUCAACUCAUUGUGCGUAUAAUACUCUACUUAAUCCCACAUUUUUCUCUGCCAUGGAAUUCAAUUGAUCAAUCAUGUCUGUGUGAUAGUACCAUUUGGGAGGGUUAUUGCCAUUCCAUUCUGCUGCUUGACCUUUUUUCACAGGCUGAGGCCAGAGGAUGAACCCGACUCUCCAAAGAAGAGCUGAAGGAGCUAUAAAAGAGAGUCCUACAGUGUCAGAAGAAGCAGCGGGGGAGGCGGUGGAAUGCAGGGGUGAGGCGGGUGCUGGGUUACUUGGAUGUUAAUCUGUGAGAAUCCCAUUGAUGGAGUAGGAUCCUGCAGGGUCGUUGGAGGCGCUGGUUACAGGCGGAGAGGCUGUGCUUGGUACUAGGACAGAAAAGAAAUCAUAGACGUCCCAUCCGGAGAUGGGUGGAAAGGCUGCUGGACUUUAGUUCGGAUGAUCCUGAGGAACAAAAGGAAAAGUAGCUGUCACUGGUGCUGUCCUUCCUGGAGAGUUCCCCUCCUAAUUUCGGCCUACUACAUGGAGAUAAUGCGGGAUUAAGAUAUCAAAUGUGACUCAUACGCGAGGACGGAUCUGGUCAGUGCUUCUACCUUAAAGCUGUGGAGGGGCUUUCACAGGGGCCGAUCGCAGCACCUAUAGCAGCUUCCCGGAUCAAACAUCUCUGUAGAACCAGUGGCCCCCAUGUGCCAAUGCGGAUGAGGUUGUAUUGAUCGAGGGCUCGGGGAGGAAAAGUUGGGGAUUAGUCACACGGGCAAACAGAUGCAAAUAGAAAGCUAUAAAUUAUAUGUGACAGGAAAGCAAUAGUUCCUUAUUGCCUUGCACAAGCUUACGCCAGCAUUAGAUUCCUUUAAUCUGAAUGGCACUUGGGGAGAAAGGGAGCUGUCACAAUAAUUUGUAAACUUUAAAACUAUUCAUCAUGUAUGCCACGAGAGCCAUUUAAGAGCAGCAGAAGGAGAGGUUGGGUGAGGACCAUGCUGCCUUUUUAGACUCGGAUUCUUUUGUUCUUUGCAUAUUUUCUUUUGAAAAUCUCAAGAACCAGACCGUGUUCAGAUCAAAAACCGUCCUCUCCUUUUAUUUUACACAGGUGUUUUGGAUAUUGAUGCUACUGUAGGAGCCAGAAGGCUUCAGAGAAAUAAAUCCAACACUGUCACAAAUCAUAAUAAAAUAAGUAAAAAAACAACUCCCCUUGGAGGCAAAGCUCCCUAACAACAAGGCUUUCCAGAGAGCGCAUAUUGAUGUUUUAAUUUUUUUCACUUCUCCCCCAUAACAGUUAUUCGACCCCUUGACUUGUGUGUGCUACAUAAAUUCAAAGACUUUAUUUGGUAUCCAUGUUCUUCAUAUUGAAUAAGCAAUUUGGGAGAAUGAAUUAAUGACCUGGCUGUUGCUGAAAAUCCCCUGAAGAGAUAUUAAAAUUGCUUUACUUCUGAAUCAAUAAUAUCGAGUGCCAUUGAGAACCCCCUUCUUUCUUUUUCUUUUUUUUCAUGUCUAGCAGCAAGGUAGCGUUACUUGUUGGUUGUGGUGGCCCCUGACGCGUGCUACAACACUAUCUCUGUAGCAUUUAAUAAUGCAUGCAGGGGAAAGGUGUUUAAAUCAAGCAUCCUCUUUUGUCAACAGUCCUGAGGUCAGACUGUCUGCCACGGAAACCCACAACUGGCCCCAGACUGAACCAUCCAACUGGAAAAGGCUUUGGCUCCAGUCUUUAGUGUUUUUUCCCUGGGUCUUAACUGGGAAAACCCCAUUUAAGCACCUGGAGUGAGAACUUUUCUUGUCAUUUAUUUUAAACACGAAAAUCACUUUUUCAGGUGAUUUUUUAAAGGAAGCAUCAAAUGAUCAGGAACCAAGUUUGCUCAAGUGACGCUCUUGUUGAUUUUCGCGGACUGCUCCAUUAAAAAAACUUCAGACAUCUUGCAAUAGUUGGAGCUAAAUCAAAACAAAUUCCUCUCCUUUGUGAGAAUGCUCCAUUGUGUCUGUGUAUAAAUGUGUGUGUGGCACAGACACAUUGAAAUCUUACAUUUCUUCAGCUCGAAUAAAAAAAAGAGAGAAAAUAUUCAGCAUUAAGCCAUAAUAGAAAUUCAAAGUAGCUCUCAUAUUUGGCUGAUAGAAUUACAGCUUCUUUGUAUUCACAAUUUAAUUUCCCUCAUAAACAAAGACACAUAAGGUUCCCCUCCCCACCACCAGCCCAGCUUCCUUCCAAAAUAGAAAGCUUUAAUUGGAAUUGAAAAACUUUAUAGGGCUCUUUUAAUGAUAUUAAUGUACAUUUUGAAUUUAUCACAUACAUGUGUCUGAGCCUCCUUAAAUGGGGCUUUUUAAGCAGCCACGAAGCAUGAAAUGAAUUUUCUUCAGCCUUUUUCUCUAUUUAAAAGAUGUCUUGUGUGGAGCUGUCCAUGCUCUCCCAUCAGCUCAUUAAAAUGUAAUGCUGAUGCUGGCUCUAUGGAACAGUGCCUCUUAACCAAAGUUCAUCACCAGGGAUCUCUGGUGGUGGGAGGGUUUGGAGGGUGGGUGAGGAGGGGUGAGGUGGCAGUGAGAGGGGGUGUCCUGGGUCCUCCUGUAGCUGCCAUUCUCCAAACUACAGCGCUGUUAGCCAUUUUUUAAAAACAAGAAAAUUAAGAUUUUUUUUUGAAGAAAAUGCAGGAAAAUGUGCGUUUUAGUGCCACAAUGAAGGCAAAUUUUAUACUGCGUUUUUAUGCAUUAUCAUAAUGUUGCAUUAGAAUUAAUUACAGCAAGAUAAUAUCUCGAAUUUUGAUGCAAGGAUUUAAAUUGGAAGCAUCGUUUCCAUCAUUCACUAAACACACAUAUAACCUAUAUGCUAAAUUAUGAUGUCAUUUAUGGCCUUAUUUUUAUUUUUACGCAGUGAAACGUUCUCCAAAACAGCAUCUUGCAGGGGAGAAAAAGCGUUGCUGUCUCUCUCUGUGCAGCAGCUCCAGCACAUUAGAUGUGCUAAAGAAAAUUGGCCUGCUUUAUAGCGCCACGGGAUCUGGUCACCGAAUAUUGAUCGGUUUUCAUCUCGACAGAUUCACUCAGUCCUGGAUGUACUGCUGAUUGUUGAGGGAGUUUGGUCUGAAAGAUUGAAUUGCACCUCUGAGACCGCAGGCAGUCUCGACGCGCCGGGCAGCACAAAGUUGGUCAAACAAUAUUCUGCUGUGCGCUUAUGGCACAGAUACACUCUGAUAAACGAUUUUCAAUUUGCGCACUGCCGGCCCUCUUCAUUAAACUGUUUACAUGCGCCAGCUUGUGGUUCAACUAUCCAAAAAAAAAAAAAAGAAGAAGAAAAAAAUAUCUAAAAUUUGAAUCUAUUUUUAAGUUACGCCUUUUCUCCUACCUGUUAAUGGAU